AUUGAACGCUGGCGGCAUGCCUUACACAUGCAAGUCGAACGGUAACAGGUCUUCGGAUGCUGACGAGUGGCGAACGGGUGAGUAAUACAUCGGAACGUGCCUAGUAGUGGGGGAUAACUACUCGAAAGAGUGGCUAAUACCGCAUGAGAUCUACGGAUGACAGCAGGGGAUCGUAAGACCUUGUGCUACUAGAGCGGCCGAUGGCCGAUUGGGUCGUUGGUGGGAUAAAAGCUUACCAAGCCGACGAUCUGUAGCUGGUCUGAGAGAACGAUCAGCCACACUGGAACUGGGACACGGCCCAGAGUCCUACGGGAGGCAGCAGUGGGGAAUUUGGGCCAGUGGGCGCAACCCUGCUCCAGCAAUGCCGCGUGCAGGAUGAAGGCCUUCGGGUUUAAAACUGCUUUUGUACGGAACGAAAAGCCCUGGGUUAAUACCCUUGGGUCAUGACGGUACCGUAAGAAUAAGCCCCGGCUAACUACGUGCCAGCCGCCGCCGUAAGAC
rnacentral:rRNA from 1 species